CUCUACUAACCCAGGAAUAUAGAAACAUUGCUGACAGAGGAUCCAAGAUGGCCAAAGAGGAACAGCUCCAGAGUGCAGUUCCCAGCAAAAACAAUGCAGAGGCCCCGUUUUCCACAGAUUCAUGGUAAAGGGGACAGGUGACAACUUCACACUCAAUGAAUUACACUGCAGAAGAACUAUGUGAUGCCUGCCCUUUGCUCUGGAGGUAAAUACUACUAUCUCUGUCUCCCAGGGAUGUUUGCUAUACAAUAAUCUUUAAAAGAUGGCUCAGAACAAAAGACAGUUAGUACUUCACUCUUAAGAUUUGCAGAAGUACAAGGUACCCAUGAAGAACUGUCUCCCCCAAACCAUUUGAAACAGUUAGAACUUAGUGAUAAUUUCUGACUAUAUAAAAUAAAUACUGAACUACAAAUUCAUAUUAGCGUUAUUGACAUAUAUGUCCUUUCCUUUUCUUUCCAGCUUUAUGUCUGGUAACAAUGUGUGGUUCAAGAUGAGGAAUCUAUUCUUCAGUUUCUCAAAUAUACAAAGACUUACCCAUGCAAGAUGCAUUCCUCAGGCUUCUGAGUCAGCUGCCUCCAGCAGGGUGAAGACAAUGGCAAGCAGUGGCAGGAGACUUGAGGGUAGGGGACUAGUAGGAGACUUUACCAAGUUAGUUCUGUUCUCCCAUCCCUUCUCAUUCACUGUGUCCGACUCCAGCAAUGGCUACAUCUCUAUGUCCAGUGUACCUUCAAGUAACCGUGGCCCUGGGCUCCUACAACACCAGUUCCUCCUUUUUCUCUCCAGCCACGUGUGUUCAGAGUAUCUUCUUGCUGUGUCAAUCUCUGGUUUAUAUUAUUGUGAAUGUGAGAAUCCCUUGUGA
rnacentral:lncRNA from 1 species